rnacentral:rRNA from 1 species
UACGUAGGGUGCAAGCGUUUAAUCGGAAUUACUGGGCGUAAAGCGUGCGCAGGCGGUUUGUAAGUCUGUCGUGAAAGCCCCGGGCUCAACCUGGGAAUUGCGAUGGAGACUGCAAGGCUUGAAUCUGGCAGAGGGGGGGUAGAAUUCCACGUGUAGCAGUGAAAUGCGUAGAGAUGUGGAGGAACACCGAUGGCGAAGGCAGCCCCUGGGUCAAGAUUGACGCUCGAUGCACGAAAGCGUGGGGAGCAAACAGG